rnacentral:rRNA from 1 species
UUCGUAGGCGGUGCGGUAAGUCGGAAGUGAAAUCUCUGGGCUUAACUCAGAGGCUGCUUUCGAAACUACCGUGCUAGAGUGCGGGAGAGGCGAGUGGAAUUGCAGGUGUAGCGGUGAAAUGCGUAGAUAUCUGCAGGAACACCCGUGGCGAAGGCGGCUCGCUGGACCGCAACUGACGCUGAGGAACGAAAGCUAGGGGAGCAAACAGGAUUAGAUACCCUGGUAGUCCUAGCCCUAAACCAUCAGGACUUGGGGUGGCCCGCGUUGGCGGGUCGUCCCGGAGCUAACGCGUUAAGUCCUGCGCCUGGGGAGUACGGUCGCAAGGCUGAA